CGGGGCCCACGUGGAGACAAAUAAAGGCAAGGUUGCACACUGUCAGAAUCUGUCGCGUGUUCUUCCUGCAGGCCAGGAGCGACAUCGACAUUUGGUGACCCGCACGGGGACUGAUCAACCCCGAGACACGGCGGUGGUGUGCAACGCUCCAGCGUGGUGCUGCCGGACAGGAAUCGGGACGAGAACCACUGUGGGUCCCAGAGAGGUUGCGACAAGUCCCUCGACUGAAGAUCAGGCCUGUUCCACCAGAGGCCAACCGCAGACCCAACAACAAGAUGAGCCCUAAAAGAACUGCAGGACAAUCCCUUUUUGGGGAGCCUGGAAUGGCUUGCUCCCCUAUGUUUUACCAUUGUUAGGUCCCCUGUGCUCCUUGCUUCUGCUCUUACUUAUAGGACCACGCUUACUCCGAUGGGUCACAUCAUUUAUUAAUGGGCGCCUUGCGGCGGCCCGGCGUCAAGUACGCCUGGUUGCCCAUGCGGCCCUGGCAGCAGCCCGUGAUGGGCACAAUGACCCCCAGGCCUACGCAUGGCUCGCUCGACUGGCCUACGACCGGGUCUAGGUGUGGCGGGUCUUCCGCACUCCUUCCCUAUUGACACCACACAGCAGGGUGGGUGAGUCAAUGACGGGUAAGAGCGUGCCUCCCCAGCACGACUCGACCUAAGCCAGGCCCCACCCCACACUGCACGAAAGCCGCUGGAUUACUAGAAUCUGCCCAGAUCUAGAUGCCUCUCCGAGGGGAUCACACGGAGGGGCAUGAGUGCAUGCCUAUGUGCAUCCAGGUUCCGUCCAGUUCACUCCUGGCCCUGGAAAAAGGACGAGGGUCUCAAGGCCUUGGCGGACCCAGGGGCGGCCGACCAGGGUCCAAGCCAAGGGCCUACGGUGGGCCUCAACACAGGGCAUAAGCCUCUGCACUCGAUCCAGGGCGGGCUGCGAUGACAUUCAUUCAAAGUAAAUAAAUUAGGGGGAGAUGUUGGGAGCCGCGGCCAACACCGGUCGCCUUACUUGGCGGACGUAGGGCCUGUGGGUGGGAGCGGAGCCUGAGCUAGAUUGCCCCUCCCAUCGAGUGAGUCAAGUUGGCGCCUGCUUCCUGCCCCCUGAUUGCGCUGGCGACUUAAACAACCCGCUCUGUAAGAUAGUCUGCCUAGCAACAACUGAUGUUAGCCAAUCAGCCCGCAUCACGCGCUUUGAACUGAUUGGCCACUGUUACCCUAUAAAAGUAAAUGCCUCUCCCGCCACAAGGGAGAAGCACAGAGAAAGCACAGAGAGAGAUAGAGAAAGUCCACCGGCGAGAAAGGGCUGGUGGCAGAGAGGAGGCCUCGCGGGGCCCACGCGGAGAUAAAUAAAGGCAAGGUUGCACACCGCC